rnacentral:ncRNA from 2 species
CCGGCGGGCCGCGACUGGCGCGCACGGAUGGAAUCGACCAUCGGGAAGCGGCCCCGUGCCGAAUCACGACGCAGUUGCCGAGCGCCUGGGCCCCCGAC